AGUGGGAAGUACAGAUGACUCCCCAGGUGAGACGGCAUUUGAUUGAGAGCUUAAAACAAGAGUUCCACAGAUGAGGAGAAGAAAGAAGCUUUCACUCCAGGCAGGAGGAACAGUAACUGCCAGGAAAGCUGCAGAACAGAGGUCUGAAAACAUAAGAGAAGCCAGGAAAAUGCAAGUCCUUCCUCCUGACCCUAGAAAAUCUCUGCUGCCAAGGCUGGGACUCUGCUGCCAACUUCAGGCCUGGGAAAACCAAGACUCCAGGAGCUCUACCUCUAGGAUUCUUCCAAACAUCUCACCAUGUCCUCUGAUACCUCUGUAGUCAUCUGCCACAACCUACUUCUGAAUAAAUCCUACAUUCCACCUUUCUGUGCCUGUACCCAAGAAGCCAAAUGUUGAUGGAAAAAACCACAAAGGUAGUUAACUGGUCAGCACUGCCAAAAACAAACAAAAAACCAGGCAAACAAAAAUCAACCACAUUUCUUUAGUAGACUCAUAUUGCCCUCCACUACGCAAACAUUUUAUGUCUCACUCACUCUCUUCAAAUUUAUCAUAGCCCAACUUGACAGUCACUCACUGCUCAUGACCUUGCUUAUACUCUAAGGAAAAAGAAGACAUCACAUCUGAACACAUACAUCUGCCAACCCCGAAACUACCAACUUAAAAACACAUGUACUCAUCCUCUUUCUCCUAUUGCAAUGGGGGGAAUAUCCCCGCUUCCAUUAAAGGGCAGCUGCACACAUCCCUUUUUUUCUUCUCAGAAACUUGGCUUCUUCCAUUUCCCCCAUCAUUAACUUUCCCUAAUCUGUACUGGUAUAUGUAUCACUCAAUUUUAAAAAGGGUAUGUAACACACACACACAUACACACACAUGCACAUUCCCAUAUCCAUUGCCAUCCAGUGGCCCAUUUCUCCACUUCAUAGCCAAAUUUUGGGGGGAAAAACUGUCUACUGAGGCUCUCCCUACUUCAUCUCCCAUGCACCCUCCAAGCCAUCAUGUACCAACCUCUAUCCCAGUCCCACUGAAACCCACUUUGUCAAGGUCAUCAAAGAUCUUCAUGUUGUGAAGCCAAUGGAAACUUCUCUUUAGGCUGAAAUGUUACAUGAAUUGAACAUUUCCCAUCAAUGCAUAAACCAUCUGUAUGCUGAUGAGUCUCACAUUUAUAUCUCCAGCUUAGAUCAUUUCUUUGAGCUUUAGAAUUUCCUUUUUAUUACCUACUUGAUACCUUGCCUUGGAUGUCUCACGGACUUCUAAAAAAGCCCCCCAAACUGCCCUUCCCCUUCCUGUGUCUUCCUCUCCUCAGUAACUGGUACUAUUUCCCACUCAAUUCAAGUUGGAAACAUAGGGAACAUUCUGUUUUUCAUUUGCUUCACUCCUGCCAUCCAGUCUCUUCAAUUUAUAAUAUGAAUGUAUCUAAAGUCUGUGUUCUCUGCUCACCUCUACUGCAACUCCCUUACUACAGCCUGUCAUCUCCGUCCAAGGCAAUAACAGCAUUUUCCUCACUUGUAUCCUUUGCUUCCUUUCUUACCUGUCUCAUUCUCCACUUGCCUGCCAGGAUGAACUUAUUAUAAUAGAAAUUGGAUCAUAUAAGUCUGUCCCUGAAAUCUUCCAUGGAUUCCUAUUCCAAAUGCACGAUUCUGUCUCUCCUCUUCUCUCUGACUUACAUCUCAAAAGCACUUUCUCCACACUCGCCAAGCUCCAGCCACGAUAGUGGUCAUGGUCAUGCAAUUUCUAGAAGAGACCCACACUACCUCGCACCUCAGGACUCUUAUCUAUGUUAUAUUUUUUUGGAAUGCUCUUUCCUCCCUCUUUAAAUGGACAAACUCUUUCUCGUGCCUUAUGUCUCAGCUGAAAUUGUAUUUCUAAAAGGACUUCUGCAAUCACCCCAAAAUCUGUUGGUCUUAGCUUCUUGUUUGUGUCCUUACAUACUUUUAUUGUGACUUUAAGUUAUCGUAUUUGCUUUUUUAUCUGAAUUUCACUCAUUAGAACAUAAGCUACCUGGGAGCAGGAGCUAUUAGAGUUACAUCUUUAGCAUAGUGGCUAAUAUAUUACAGUUUCUCAACAUUUUUUGAAAGAAUGAAACUAAUCUUCAAUUUUAUGAUAUUGAGAAACAUAUGCAACCAACUUUCAGUUAAGACAAGGAUGUAGAGGGAAGAGGAAGAACAAUGAAAGCAAGUGAAGAUAAUAAACAAAAAUUAAUGAACCCUUACUAUAUAUUGAGUGCUAUCUCUUGACCAGAUAGCAGAGGUGCAGAUGGAAGCAAAAUGAGAUUUAGAAUGGGGCCAAGGAAAGGGAAGAAAUGAACAGGAGUUUCUACCUUCAAUUGUCAUGCUAAUCACAGGGAUAGUUGCCAGAGAAGGAGGGAACCUGAUAAAUGAGCAAGAGAUUAACUGACAUGACUGACCAGCCUCAGAAUUUCAUCUGGAAUUUUACUGUUGAAUCAUGAGUUUCCCUCCAGUUGUUGGGGGAGGAACAUGGGCUGGAUGAGGAGUUGUGUGUAGAGGCCACAUGCAGAUAUACUUGUCUGAGGUGGGAGAGGCAUACCUGGCUGGGUACACAAAAGCCAAGAGGAAUGGAUAGAUCAAAAGCAAAGACAUUUAAACCCCAGCCCAGAGUAACUGCUCAAUAAAUAUUUGUGCAGCCCUUAGCACAAUGAAGGUCCUUAGUAAUUCUGAGAAAAUCUUUCUAAUACUGCAACUGACAUUUCAAAAUUAAAGUUGCAUGGUUCUAGGUGGCCACAUAAACUCACCUUUUAAAAAAUCAGCAACAAAAAUUUUUGCUUUGAAUGAUUAACAAUACUUUGUUUUCCAUUUUUUUUGUGCUGACAGUAUUUCAUCAAGCUACAACUUACACACAGCCAUAUGCACAUCCUUGGUGUACAGCUCCAUGAAUGCUAACAUACGAAUACACUGCCCAGCUCAAGAGGACAAAGCAAUACUAAUACCUCCAUUGGCUUCAAGCUGAGAAACAAAAAAUCCUUGUGCUAGAUAAUGCCCAUUAUCAGUGCCCCUCUCCACCCUCAGUCUAAGGGAGCCAAGGUAAUUUUGGUGUGGUUGAGUUAAUGGCUGGAAUAGAAAGCCAUUUCUACUAAAGUUAUCUUUACAAUGUCAAAAACACAAGGGAUAUGUAUUGCUUCAUUCUUUUCCAAAAGAAGUGUCAGCCAUGAUAGUUCUAUAUUUAGAGGAAAAUAAGAAAAACAUUAUUAUGCUUUGGAGAGUAACUUGUGACCCUGCUUCUCUGAAAGGCAUUUUCCUUGGUUAGUUAGUCUGUUCCUGAAAACCACUAAUAACCCAAUUCUUCCGAUUUGCUUUACUCCUGUGUCCCUCCAGGGGAACACACAUACAGUCCCGUCAGGUAUGAAAUCAGAGGGACCAGAGCCUCAAAAAAAUCUAUUCUCACACUGCUUUUGCUUACGUGCCUCUAACUCUCAUGGGAUGGUCUAUGGUUUCCAUGGCAAUACCUGGCAACAAUGCUGGGCAGCCUUACAGGAGCUCUGUUUGGAAGCGAUGGGGCUAAAACGCAUCUGUCAGAGGUAAUAAAGAGUUCUCUGUGUGAACAUUUCUGUCUGACUGCUCCACUCAGACACCUGCGCAGGUUCAGAAGGUAAUGAGCAUGGAGCAGGGUGGGAAUCUGGGGUGGGUGAGCCUAUCGUAUGGACAGUCUUUAGCACAUGUCAUGAUGGGGCCACGAUCCUCACCCAACUGGGUGGCUUUGACCAGAUAAGUUAAAAGCUGACACUGUGUCUGACCUCUGAAGUCUUUACUAAAGACUACAUCGAUUCUCAGACUCAUCUUUAAAAGUUGAAUUUCUCAUAUUUUUACUCUCUGCCAUCUCUAAUAAGUUCCUUUUGCUGAAUUUCCCAUUUCUGUUAAUGCUGUCACCAUCUUCCUCAGCACGCAAAGCUUCAGGUUGAGGCUUUAAUCCAUUCUUCAAAUUGAAUCAAAAAAAUCCUCUUAGUUUUUCAUUCUCAUUUUUUUCUUACGUCUAUCCUUUUAUAUCCAUUCAUUCAUUCAUGUAUCCAUUCAUUCAAAACAUACUUAUGAGCCCUUACUAUUGACUGAGGAUGCAACAAAGAACAGAAUGGGAAAAAAAAGUUCAGUAUCUUUGGAUGGGCUUAGAGCACAGAACCAGUUGAUAGGUUAUGACUCCCUAUUGUGACAACUCAAGUCAGAUUUCUAUCCACUACACUAGGAAUUUUUCCAGUUAUAAAGAUCAAGUAAUACUCUGGUAGGCUGCCUAUCUCUUUCAUUUCUAUGGACAGGUGAUUGAUUAGCCACCACCAAAGACCUUGUAGAUAUAAGUAUCCUGACUAUCAAUAUAUCCCUGUUGCUAUUAACUACUUCUACUUUGAUGAUACCUUUUUACUGGCAAUUAAAUGCUAGUGCUUGUGCUCUGCCCCCAUAGGAUCCCUUCAUCCUCAUCACAACGGCAACAUCUCCCACUAUCACCCCAGCUUAGAGAGGCAGCCACUGCUGAGUUUUUAUAGUAUGCUGCUGCUCCAAUCACUGCUUUAUUUAUGAUUUCAUGAAAUGAGGGUGUCAUGGGGUCAUCAGGGAAUAUCUGCUACAAGAAGAGGCUCUCAAUAUUCAGAUAUCCCAGGUGACAUGUUCUGUGGCAGGAAGUCACUUUCCCCAGCCAUCCAGAGUGGCAGACAGAGAGUGUGGAGGAGCUUGGCAGCAGGGAAUCACACUUUCCAAGGCUGAACUGACAAUUGCUACUACUAAGUGUCUAACCUGCCAAGAGCAGAAACCAAAAGGGAGCCAUUAAUAUACUAUCAUUUUUCCAGGAAACCAGAGAACCACCUGGUAGCUGAUUACUCAUAUUGAAACUCUUCAUCAUAAAGGGCAGCCAGCCACGUGUGCUCAUUAGAAAGUAUAUGUAUUACAGUACAGAUUUCUCUUUCCUGUUAUGUUUUUGCCAUCUCAUUAUCCUUGGACUUUUAUUACAUCUUAUUCAUCAUCAUGGCAUACCCAGACAAUAUUUGCUUCUAAACAAGGAAUUUAUUCCAUGGCAAAAGAAGUAUAGCAAUGGGCCCAUGUACAUGGUCUUACCAUGUGCCACAUCUCCCAGAAGCAGCUGCUCUGAUCAAAUGGUAGAAUGGCCAAUUAGAGGCCAGCUGGAAGAGAAAACCCUGAAAGGUUGGGGUUCUAUCCAAUAGAGUGAAAUACAUGCUUUGAACCAGUGAUCAAUGUGUGGUGCAAUUUAUCCCACAGCCAGAAUCAAGGGGCAGAACUUGGGAAUGGAUUCUCCUACAGCUACACUAGCAAUCCACUGAGAUAAUGUUUGUUACCUGUCUCUACACCUUUGAGCUCUGUUGAUUUAGGAAUUUUCAUUUACAAAGAGAAAGUAUUCCACGUAGGCGUAGAUGACCAUUUGAAGCUUCUGAUGCUACUAAACCAAAAGGCUAAAAAGGAAUUUUAUACUGGCUGGGAAAAUUGGGUUCUACUACUCAAGAAGACAGAGAAAACUAGUCCCAGAGCCUGUGGUCUUCUAAGGGUGUCUCUUAUACUCCUCGGUGCAACAUUUUGGAAAACCAUAUCAACUCAAUAAAUGCAAGACCUCUGGGAAUUCAGGCCCCUUAAAGAAUGAAGGCUUUCAGGUAAGAAGUCUUGGCCGGGUGCAGUGGCUCACACCUGUAAUCCCAGCACUCUGGGAAGCUGAGGUAGAGGAGAGCUUGAGCCCUGGAGUUUGAGAUCAGCCUGGGAAAUACAGGGAGACCCCCAUCUCUGAAAAAAUGGAAUUUUAAAAAAUCUAUCAGCUGGAUAUGGUGUGUGCACCUGGGCAACAGAGCAAAAGCCUGUAUCUUAAAAAACAAGAGAGAGAGACUCUACAAGCUGAGUUGCUAGCUUACAACGAAUGUAACAUCAAAUAGACAAAUAGACAGUGGAAGAGGAAUUGAUAUUAGUGAUGACCUCAUGAAUAGUUAUAGAAAUGUGACUCUUAUGAAUGUCUACCUUUGUUUAAUUUGUGUGUGUGUAUCUACCUUUGCUUAAUUUGUGUGUAUCUAUCUAUCUAUCUAUAUAUAUAUAUAUAUAUAUAUAUAUAUAAUGUUAAUUCAUUUCUUCCCCCUCCUUUUUUCCCCUAUUAUUUUACUUAAGUUCUACUAUUCAUGAUUAAGUUUAUAACGUCAUCUUUAGUUUACAGAGUAUUCAGAUAGAUAUGUAGAUAUGCAUAUGAUUGUUACAGGAAAUCUCUUUUGGUUAGAAGGUAAUACAGUCUUCAUUUGUAUGAGGGAUAAUUGCAUCUUAUUAGGCAGAGCACGGAGCUCUUAUAAUUGGUUAGAAGGAUGGGGACUGAUGCUGACUAACCAAGAGGAUAGACAAGACUAGUUAUUUGCCUACUUUCUCUGAGCUCCAAGUCCUGCUAUACUUUGCAGUGGUGAGCCUAGACUAGCUUGCCAGCUGGCCCUCUAUUAGGUUCUGCUAAUGAGAGGCACCAGAGGGAUUGGAAGGUGGGAAGAGGAGAGAAGGGACAUCCCUUCUGUUUCUAGUCCCUUCUGGCAAUGCUCCCGCAGCCACAGGUGGCUGGCUCAGCCUCCAGGUUCUUCAAUACUCCCAGUGCCAGCUUUUCCAUGCCCCUGCAGAGGCACCUGCAGGCAUGAGGCCCAGCACUUUUGGGAGUUCAGUGCUAGCCAUGCCAUCCUUCCUCACCCAUGGAGCCAGGCCCUUCCAUGGUCUGCAUUCACCAGAUCAUGCCCUCUCCUCAGAGGCAUAAGCACCCAUUAGGCCACACUCCUCUGGAGGUCCAGCACUCACCUGACCUUGACCCUUCUUGGGAUUCUGAUCGCCAACACUGAGGCGUCCCCAGAUUCUGCUAACCCACCUCUUCCUUUCUCUUUCCUAGUCCUAGAUUAGUAACUAAUUCCUGUGGUUAUGCAUGUCAGUCACCUCAGCACUUCUUCCAAUGGUGUGCGAUUAAUGACAUCUAUUCCCCUUUGCUUUAAAUAUCCAGUUUGUCAGGUUUCUUGUUUAUGGUAUUUUUUCCCCCUAACUGGACCUUGUUUGAUACAGAGAAGAGCAGGUUUGGAGGGAAAACUGAUUAACACCACUAUUCAUGCAUUGUCGCUCCGUUCAUUCAUCCAUUCACUCUUCCACCUAUUAAAUAUUUCUUGAAUUCUUAUUGGGCACUCCACUAGGCUUUGAGAUAAAAAGGUGAAUAGGCAUGGUUUGUCCCAGCCAGCAAAGAUUUCCUUUAAGGCCUAGGGGAGGAAGCAGGCCAUCCAACCAGCAGUAGCCAGAGAGUGCCACGGUGGAAGAGGAGCACUGACCUCAGUCAGGGGUUGAGGCAGACUCAGAAACAAUUCCAGAAGCAGUGGCAUCUGCACACACAAUGCAUGAAGGGAGGAGAUGCUCCAGGCAGAGAGAACAACAGGGUUAAAGAAAAAUAUGUUUGAGGUAAGGUGGCAGGUUUAGUCCUCUGAUUGUGAUGGAGCUCAGAUUGCAGAGCAUAUGACGAGGAGAGGAAGACAGAUGAGAAAGCAGAAGUGGGGAAGACAGCCGAAUGAGAGCCUGGCAGCUCCUGUAAGCCACAGCGCCUUUCCCUCUCCUGUCUCCUCUCUUGCUCCAUUCGGUGAUCAAUGUUGGGCACACAUUGCUCCUCUGACCUGUGGAAAGGAAAGGAGUGUGGAGAGUGUCAACUCCUCAGCCUCAAUCCAAAAGCCCCAAUAACAACUGUUUCCCAGUCAAUCAUCUCACCUCUAGGUUGCAUGCUUUCUUGCAAAUUUGGCUCUGCACUCCAAUUUCCUUCUAGAGCUUUCUCUCCUUUGUCUUAUCUGGGCUCUUUUCCUCUCAGUCUCCCCAUCUUCUUAAUGAACAGCAAUUUUGUUCUCUCAGCUUUUUCGAACCCAUCUCAUCACCCCCAUCAAAUUCACCCAUGCAGUUACCAGGGCCCACUCUCCUUAGCAGGCACCAGAUUAUAUGCAGCAGAAUCUUUUCUUGUCAUGGGAUGAAUACAGUGAAUAACAUGAGUAGGUGUCAGAAGUGUGAGUGAAAGAACUGCCCCUGCUUGCUAGGGCCACAUUGAGGUUGGAGGUGGGAGGAGAUGCUCUUGAUAACCUGGCCUGUAUUCUCAGUGCCAGGAGGAGUGUGCACCCAUCCAAUCAUUAUUUAGUAAAAAUAUUUUUGUAAAUAAAAUACAGCCUAAGUACCUUGAAUAAUUUUAAAUUCAUAUCAGAUGCAGCUUUUGAAGUUAUAAGAUUCUUUGACUUAUGUGAACAAUGUAACCCAUGUGUAAUUAAAAAUUUUUAAUGGAAUUGUAUCUCCC
rnacentral:lncRNA from 1 species